AAGCCCCUCUGUUAUGGAACUACAGCGCGCUCCCCAAUGUCCCUCCUGCUGACGGGACAUCCGCCUCUAACCCGGAAGUCAGUUCGUUGCAGUGCAGGGGGAGAAGCAGAACGCGGAGCGGGACCACAAAGUAAAGGAGAUGCGAUAAGCAAAGGAAUGCUGCAGCACAUAAUCAAGCUUCUAACCAGGAGGUGAAGGAGAUGAAGAAAAAAUGCUGCAGAAUUGAAAAAAAGCUUCUGAUUCCUUUGAGCACCUGGAAGAAAAUGAGGAAGAAGCUGCUCGCAAUUAAUUAGCAGUUGUUAUGUGACGUCGCGUCCGGUAGUUUGAACAGGAAAUCUAGGAAGUGGCUGACCGUAGCACGCACAUAAGGAAGGAGAAACUUUCAGGUGUUGCAAGAGAGCAGGGACCCCGUAUACUCCACAGAAAAGUGGCAACUGCCUUUUUUUUUUCUUUCCUUACUAGAAAGCAGGAUGCAGCAGGGUCUUUGAAGUUACUACUGUAAGUUGACUGAUUGGGAUUGGGUUCUCUAAAAGGAGUUACUGGUCCUUUAAUAAACCCGUGACCUCCUGGACCCCCAUGGGGUUCUCACAGAUUGAAUGACUUUGCCCUGCCCACAGAUAGGAUAAAAAGCUGCCGUUGGUGGGGAAGAAAGAGGGGGCUAAGCUGCCCCCAAAGCAUCCUGCCAUUCCCAAAUAAUAAACAAUCUAGUAACAGGCAAAGAAUGGUGUGUAGUAAUGGUCCUGUCCGUUCGUAGCAAGCAGCAAAGCCUUAGAGAUGAAGUGCAGAGGGCAGGGUAAAGACAUACAAAGAUGCUGUAAUGCAUGUGUGUAUGGUAUGGACUAGCAGGCAAGUCACGGUGUCAAGAGUUGGCAGCAUAGCGCUCUGUGUUUUUUAGUCUUACAACGCUUAUACAGAGCAUGUUGGAGCAACAGUGCACCCUUUUAUGCGGAAAAUUUUAUUUAAGUGCCCUGGUUUUCUAUUUUGAAUCCUUUUGGUGACUACAGUCUUGCGUUACACGUGUGUUUAUGUUGCUCUUGCAUGACGCAGUGUGGAAACUGAUCCGAACUGAAUCAUGACCCGAUUUGCCAUGGAUUUGCUGCAUGGCUGAUGAGCAUCAAAUUUGAAUGGAGACUGGAGUUAUUAUGGAGCCAAGCUGUUGACAGCUAGUCUGUUUUAUAGUAGGACCAUGUGACACCUUAGAGUAGUUUUUCUUUUGUGCUGCAGUCUUUUAACAUUGAUUUAAAGACGUUGUUGUAUUACAACAUGUAGUGCUGUGGUUUAUCCUGAGUGUAUAGAUAGUAAAACUACAUUCUGUAUUCCUACUUCACGCUGGCUGCAUCGCACCAUGAUGUCACACAGGCGUGAUGCUAUGUGAACACUCUUCUGUUUGAGUGCUGUACCUUGUACCAGUGGCAUACCUACCUAUCAGAAGACCCUCUGUGCACAAAAGUUUUGAAAAAGAGCAAGCACUGGCACUCCAAAGCAAUUAUAAGCAAGUUUACUGUGAACGUGCAACGUUUCGGAGUCAAAAGCCCCUUUGUCAAGAGUUUUUCUUUCUUGCCACAUAAGUUUUGAAGCCAGUGCACACAAAGAAUUUUGUGUGAAAACCCAAAAUUUUGCAUUUAUUCUGAGCACAAAUUUUGAAAAUGUGCAUGCAAUUAGAGGGAAGAUUGGUUAUCAGAAUAUUCCUUUAAAAAACACACAAAAAGACCAAUUCUUAAUGUGGCCAAUCGGCCAGAUAUCAACCGGACGAGGACAACAUUGUUACAUUGACACUCUGCUUGUCCAAAGGGUCUCUGUAGGCCCCAAUAAAUGAUGUGAUUGUUGGCCCUAGGAUGUGAGAGACUGGUAAAGGCUUUUCGAUCCUGGGGGUUUGCGUUCAAACAUUUGUUUGUCUAGUAAAUUACUGUCAAGUAGUCACAUGGUGAUAAUGUGGAGAACUUCUUAUUGCUUCUUGUGUAAUUAGUGGAAAUCAUCUAAAAUAGCAGUUCCUUUUGUUUUGUGGCGGAGAAUGUAUUGAAUGAUAGAAUUUCUUUUAAAUUGUUGUUCUUAUUUUUUUAUUAUUUGUAUUAGGGACACCUAUUCUUUAUUUAACAUUUUGAUUUCAGGGAAAUUAAGCCUUAGUACAAGUAUGACCGCUGCACAACAAAAAUAUGUAAAUAAUUAAAAAAAACAUGAAUAACAAUGACCAGUUUCAUUUCAUAUUUGACCCACCAACAAAUGAAGAACCACAAUCAACCUCAGAUGUUGGUAUGUAUGAUAUAUGCGUAAGCAAUAGCUCUCAUCUCCUUUUUAUUUUACCAUAAUCAAAUUUGUGUUAUGUCUUUCCAUCUUUAUUGCACAGCACUGCAGAAUUUGUUGACCCUUUGUAAAUAAAUGUUGAUGACUGAGA